rnacentral:sRNA from 1 species
GCUGGGUGUGGUGGCAUACACCUGUAAUCCCAGCCACUUGGGAGGCUGAGGCAGAAGGAUCAUGAGUUUAAAGCUGGCCUCAGCAACUUAGCAAGGCCCCAAGCAAUUUAGCGAGACCUUGUCUCAA